GAGGGCUAAAGUGACCUUUUUGUAAAGUUGGAGGGCAAAAAAGUCAUUAUGUCUUUUUAAAAUGUAUACUUGGUUAUAUUUAAUAUAUAGGCUUAACUCACAAAUUGGUACCUAAACUAUACUAUUUUUUCUAUCUUGGUUCCUAAACUUUUUUUUAUCACAAGUGAUUCCUAAACUACUUUUUUUUUUCCUUAAGUUGGUAGAUUCGUUAGUCAAAUUGUUAAGUCUAUUUAGGGAAAAGAAAAAAACUUAACCCACAAAUUGGUACUUAAGCUAUAUAUUUUUCCCAUUUUGGUAUAUAAAUUAUUUUUUUCUCAAGUUGGUACCACUAUUAGUUCAAUUAUCAGUUAAAUUGUUAAGUCUUUAAAAAAAUAGAACCAAUUAGAAAUUGUCAUAUGACAAAAAAAAUACAGUAUUUUUUCUCUUAUAGAUAGAUUUUUUUCCUUUUUUUUCUUUCUUUAGAAUUAGACCAAUGAUCAAACUAGGUACGCCACCGAUUCUUAGUUUAAUCAAUUCGCCUGAAUCAAUUAAAUAAAUUAUUAAAAAUUUAUCAAAGUUAAAAAUUAGAGAAAAUAAGUUUAAUUGGUUUUUUUAGUUUGGUUCAAUCAGUCUGUAUUGGUUCACGAGUUAAUCAGUUUAACCCUAUCCACGAGCUAGUACCUCGGUUGAUUCUCGGUCCAAUCGAUUUAACGGUAUAAUUUAGGUACUGAUUUAAAAUAGAUUUAACGGUUAGACUAAUAAAAGUAUCAACUUCAGGGAAAAAAUAAUUCAGGUACCACUGCCCAAAAAAAUAUUUAAAUACCAAGAUAGAAAAAUAGUAUAUUUUAGAUUCUAAUUUUGGAUUAAACCUAAUAAAUUAAAUGAAAAAUUCAAUUAAAGAGAAAAUAAUUAUAUAUCCAAUAUGAAUAUAAAUAUUAUGGAAAUCACAUAUAUUUAAUGUUUGCAUUUUAAGUUGAAUAAUUAUAAAAUUAAAUUGAAACUUAAAAAAUACAAAAGUUAUUUAAAUUAUGGUUGUUCAUUAAAAUAUAUACUCCUUUUUAUUGUAGUAAUUUUGAUUUUUUUUUAAUAUUCUUAAUUGAGUUGGGUGAAAGAGUAUAUAAUUAAUUUAUUUUUAUAUUUAUGAAAAGAAAGAUAAUUAGCAUAAAAAAAUUAAAUUAAUUGUACUUAUAAUUUUCUAGAUGAUUUUUAUUUUUUUAAGAGUUAAAAUAGGAAUGAGUUAAUAAGAGAGUUUUUUUUCUUAUACUCAGUGAAAUACACAAACAAACUAAUAGUACUUAAAGUAUUGUAAAUUUAAUCUUUAACAUAAAAUAAUAUAUAUUAAUAGUAUACAAAAUAUAUGUUUUAUUAUGAAGUUUGGAAAUAUUAUCUUAAAAUAAUUAUAAUAAAUAGACAUGCGAAUUAUUAAAAUAUAUCGAACAAAUUUGGAUUUGAAAUAUUAUAUUAAAAAAUUAUAGUAAAUAGAUAUAAAAUUUUGUACUAAAAAAUUUAAUUUAUGAAAAACAAUUAUAAAUUAUUAUAAAAAAUAAUAACAAUAAGAUUAAUUAAAAAGAGUCCUAUAAAUUAUAUUAUAGGUAUAAUAAUUAAGUUAUGUUUUUCUAAUAUAAUUUAAAAAAGAAAUGAGUAAAAGUUUACCCAAAGUAAAAAUAAAUGCUUAAAAUGAAGAAAGUCACGUGUCAAAUAAUUGUAACAUUAACACACUUGGUUAUUUAAAACCUUGUAGUAUAAUUUAUUUUAUAUUUUGGUUAUGGAGUGACUAUUAAUUUUUUUUAGAAAUUAAUAAAACAAUUUAUUAUAAUUAAAUUUUGCAUGAAAAUAUAUUUUAUGUUAAAAUAAUUUUUUUAAAAUAUAUUCAAUAAUAAAUAUAGAUAGAGUGAAAAUAAACCUGAAUCUUAAUACUACUAUUUAACGUGUGUUCGAUUCUUGGAUUUAUAAUUUAUAAUUAUUUUAUUUAAAAAUGUAUAAAAGUAUGAAAAAGACACAAAUGUCAUAAUAAUAUUAAUUAUAAUUUUUUUAAAAAAUAUUUUUAUAAUUUCAUAAUUAAGUUAAUUACCAAUUAAUGGUGAUAUCAACUUAAUAAAAUGUUUACAUGUAAAUAAUUGUAUAUUUGAAAUAAAUUUCAAAAAGAAAAAUAAUUAUAUAAAUAUUAUAAAAAUUAGGUUAAUUGAAUAAUAAGCUCUCAAAUUAUACCUUUUUUGAAUUAGGUACUUAAACUCUUUUUUUAAUUGAAUCAGAGACUUAAAUUAUAAUUUUGUAAUCAUUACGAGUUCCAGCCAUUAUCACCAUUUAAAACAACCUUCAGCUAAUCAAAUGUGAUAUUUUUAAUUAUAUAAAGAUUUUAAAAUUAAAUAUUAAAUAAUUAUUUAAUAUUAUAAUUUUCUAUUCCCUUAUCUCCAUUGUCUCCCUUUCUAAUUCUUCAAUUUUCAUCCUCUCUCCUCUUUCAUCUAUAUCCAUAAAAUUUAAAGGAAGUACACUACAAUGCUGGCAUAUAUAAAUACCAUAAAAGAAUGUCAUUGGGAAAAAUGUGGCAAUCCCAUUUUAGGGUGCCCAGUCCCGCUAUCCCCAAUAAGUGAAAGUAAGGCAGGCAAAGGCAAUGGAGGAAUUGGAAAUGAUAGAAAAAGAGGGGAGGAAGAGAGUGAAAGAAAUAUAUAACAUUAAACAUUAAUUUAUUUUAAUAUUAAAUUAAAAAUUUUUAUAUAAUUAAAAAUGUCACUUGCUAACUCUUACUUAAUUUUAAAAUUUUUUAACAGAUGAUAACAAUUGUGGACUAUAAUGAUUACAAAAUUAUAGUUUAAAUAUAUAACUAAAAAAAUAUAGUUUGAGGGCUUUUUAUUCAAUUAAACCUAAUAUGUAUAUAUAUUAAAAAUACUUAUAUAAGGGAAUUUUCAUAAUUUUGCCUUGGUUUGAGUUGCAAAAUAUCAGAAAAUGCUUUUAGAUAAUAAAAGCAAUGGAGGAGGGCUAAAGUUAUAUGCCGCACAACCUUUUUUUUUCACAAGAAAACAACAUAAAUUCAAUAACAGUAAUAAUAUAUUAUUUAUUAUAGGCAUUAUCAUAAAUUUAGUUUUUUUUUUUAUAUUUUAUAAUUUUAAAAUAUAUUUAUAAAAGUAAUAUAUAAGAUAAAAAAUCACACAAGUUUUAUGUUAACAUCGUUAAAAAUUAAUAUUUUAAUUUAUUUAGAAAACUUAAUAUUAUUUGAAAAUUCCAUAACUAAAUUUGGUUAAAAAAAUAAAAAUAAAAAUAAAAGUGACAAAAAAAUAUAAAGCCCAAACUUAUCAUAUAUAUUAUUAUCUUACACGCCAAUAAUGAUAAUAAAAAUGACCGAAAAAAAAAACAAUAAAAAUAUACUAAAUUUACAUUAAAAACCCUUAUAGAAAAAACGAUGAGUAAAUAAAAAGAAAUUCAUUAACGGAUAAUAUCUUUCCUCUUCAUUUUCUUUACUUCCGAGCGACAAGGCACUAAACUUCCGUUUCAAUUUGAAAAGUAAAAAGUAGAUUCUUCUUUUGUAGCAUUAAAUUUAUAUUAUAGAUAAAAUUACAAAAACUUUUCAAAAAAACAAAUUAAAUGUUCUUUUAUAAAUUUAAUUAAUUGGGAUAAAGAGUAAAUAAUAGUAAAUGUCACUGAAGUCAAAAGCAUGGGUGCAAAUUUCACUGAUAAAACUGAACCAGAAAAAAAGAAAAAGGAUUUUUAAAAGAUGGUUAACUGCAAAAGGGAGUUGGUUAGUAAGCUAAGUUGAGGGUGAAAAAAUAAGGGUAUAUUUUAACAGACGCAGACAAGUUGCGUUUUUCUUCUCUUUUUCUUGCAUCUACAUUUGCACAGCAACCAAAGAAACGCAGAAAGAAGAGGAAUCACCUGCGGUACGAGCAUAAUACCGACGGUACUACCAGCCAUGAGAUCAACCUGCAAAUACUCCCGCCAUUUAUACGUUCGAAUCCAACGGCAACAAGGAAGAAACAUCUCGACCCAAUUAAAAAAGGUCAUCUCUUUGAUCUUUUCCCGCAAUCUGGAAAACGAAGAUGAGGAAUAACCAGCACCGGAGCUCCCGUAGGACGUCGUGUCCGGGUGCUGGAGCUGGAGAAUUUUAACGGAUCGGGUAGGCAUGGUGGAAGAUGAAGGAGAUGAAUAGGUUAUGUGGGGGAUAAGCAGCGGAAGGGGAGAGGGAGGCAUAGGCGUUAUUGAGUUUUGUGGAGCUCAGUCCAUAGCGACGUGGGGGCCAGGUUUCAGUAGAUUAUGAGGAAGAAAUGAAGCCAGUGACAGGUCAUUAAAACAACUAUAAUAAAAUAUAAAAAAGACGUGAUACAUUUGUCCAUGUCUGGGUAAGGUCGUUCCUAGGGUUUUUUCUUUACUAUUUUGAAAGCUCAUUGCCCCAGGUCCAACUUUGUCGGUCCCAAUUACAAUUUCUCUUCUUCAAGAUGCAUUCGAGUGAUUAAUCCCAUCAUUUAAUUAAAUUUCCACAUUUAUCAAAUUUUAAUCUCAUUUUUCCAUGUCCCGCACUAAUAGAUACAGUUUAGUAUAUAAUUACUACAGUAGCUCCAAUGUUUUAAAGAGAAAAUUAAGUAAUAAAAAAGCUAUGAGCAAACAUAUUUGAAAUUAAAACUCUAGGGAACCGAACUAUAUAAAUAAAUCUUGGUGAUAUUUCUAUUUUGUUUGUAGAGUUUUUCAUAGUGCCAAGAUGUAAUGGUAAAUGUAGUCUAACGCUUCUAUUGCUUUUGUUUUUUUAAGCAAACAAACAAUUUAAGUAGUAACAAUUAGUAUCAGAACAUACACUUAACAAAUCUAGUGGUAAACCCAGGUGUUUCUUUUUACUAACAAUGGAAGGUUCUUCGAUUACUCAUCCCUUUAUACUUGAAAAUGGAAACUAUCCUUACUAGAAAGAUAGAAUGAAAGACUAUAUUAAGUCAGUUGAUGAGAAAGCCUGACGAUCUAUUCUCACUGGAUGGCAAGCUCCGAUUAUUGGUUUUAAUGUUGGAAAGGUUCCUAAGUCUGAGAUUAAAUGGACUACUGAAGAAUUUAGAGUUGUCAAUGCAAACUCUAAUGCUCUAUAUGCCUUAUUCUAUGGUAUUGAUAUGCAAGAGUUCAAAUGGAUUUCCAAAUGUACUAUAGCAAAGGAAGCUUGAGAAAUUCUUCAAAAUGUUUGAUGUGAGCUCGCCACAUCAUAUGAUUAUAUAACUAAGUGGGCAUCUGAUUGGGUUAAGAUCCAAUCACAUGUUUCUAAUGAGCCAAGAUUCUGUAGGCCAAAUUGGGCUUUGUUACAUCAAUAGAGCUUAUUAGGCAUUUCUUGAGAAAUAAAGGCGUUGGACCUAAGAAGGCCAAUCAUGAACCUAUUCAAGAUGUUUGGGUCCAACAACGUGUGAAGCCCAAGUGCAAGAUGAAAUUCAACAUCUUUAGACAUGGCUAUCUAGGCCAUUUUAUUUGGACAUUUAACUUUCAGACUUCGAAAUUUUAUCUGAUGUGUUUUAAUGUUUUUAAGUUAUAUUUUAUGUGUCAUUAUUUCUAUGUUUGUGUUAAUAUUUGCAUGAACAUUAAGUCCAAGUGUUUGUGUCUUAUAAUUAUAAUGUUAUUUUUUUAUGUCUAAGUGUUCAUGUUUUCACAUCAUGUUUAUAUUAUUAAGUUUGUCAUGUGUCACAAAUUAAUUUAGUGUGUGUUUUCUAUUUUAUGUGUUCAAACAUCCGUGCAUUCUUUAUAAUGUUUAUGUCCAAAAUUGUUAUAUGUUUGUGUCUUCAUGUUGGAUUCCUUGUUUGUGUCUAGUUGUAUCAAGUUUACAUAAUGUUCUAAAUUGUUCUUUUUCCAUGCGUCAAGGUUUCAUGAUUCUAAGUUUUAGUGACUUUGUUUGGAUGAUGCUUAUUUAUACUUUUUUGUAGGUACAUUGGCUAACCACAAAUUGCUCCAUGCACGGCGAAUCUUCACUUUCUUUCCCAAAUAUAAUGGAUGGACACAUCCUUUUCACCUAAUGGUUCAUGCAUACAUACAUGCACCUAAGGCCUUUCGCAUUCCCUUCAAAAUACAAUGUGCUUCAACAUUCAUGAAUGAUCAGAUUCCAUGAACAUUCAUGUAAGGAAUAGACGGUGCCUUUAUGGAGGUUAAUUUGACUAUUCGUUCAGUUUCAUUGAACACUCCAUAUGCAUGCAUGGUUAAGAGGAUGUAUUUUAUUAAUAAAGCAACAUUGAACCUUGAAGAUGUAUGGAUGGAAAAGAUGAACCUCAAAGAUUCAUGUACGGUUAGAAAAGGGUGAAUGUGACCAUUCGAUCAUACAUUGAAUAUGGAAAUACAUGCAUCACAUAGGUUCAUGGAUGAUGAUACAUGUACUCAUUAAUGGCCGAUUGUGGCAAUUCAUCUACCUAGCUUUCCUAUAAAUAAGCUAUCAUUUGUAAACUUAAAAAACUUUUGAUCAAUAUAUUUGUGAAAUUAUUUCUCUUUGUUCUUUACAAACAUUUAUUGAACUUAUCAAUAUUUUCAUGUUAUGGUGUUCACCAAUCCGAUCUUAUCACUCCCCUUCUUUCUUUCAGGAGUGAGGCAGUCCAACUUAUACUUACAGUUCUUAUCUCUAUAUAGAUAACAGGUCGAGAUUUUCUUCUCAAUACUUUUGAUUCUCUAACUUGUCUUAUAGAAAAUGGGUCGAGGUCUCUUAUACCUAUUAUUCUUUUCUAGAUAUAGUUAUUGGGUUGUGGUCUUAUUUUUAUCUAUCUAUCUUUGUUUUUGAGCCUGUUUUAAUCGGUUGGGCCACUAAUUGUGUUCCUUUAAUUCGAGUUCGAGUGUCGUUGUGUUUCGAGGUUCAAUCGAUUAUAGGAUAACAUCAAUGCUUAUGAGGGAACUAAUAUUGUUAAGUAAUCCAAGAUGUAACGAAUUUUUUUUUGAAAAUCGAGCCGAUUUGUGAUAUUUAUGGCAAUAAAAUUUUCUCGAAAAGUACCUGUGCUUUGUAUAAAAUAGAUCCUUGACGUUUCUGACUUUCUACCAAACGACCUUCUUUAUUAUUCUCGUUCCACGAACCGCUUCGAGUGUAGGCUCAAAAAAUUUCAAAUCAAACACAGAACAGAAAAUAAUUUUAUUACGUUUUGUAGGAAACUAAAUCUCACUCUUUUAUAGAAACCAGUGGCAUUGUUAUCCCUGAAAAAUAGAAUUUAUACUUAAAAGUAAAUUCUCACUAUUUUCGGAUAAAAUAACAAUAUCUCAAAGUUGUGUAUAUUUAGCCCGACCAAUGCCAUUUAUUUAUAAGGUGAGAUAGAGGAACCUUAGUUGAAUUAUUAGAAUAUAAAUAAUACUUAUUUAAUAGAAAAAUCAAUCCCCUAGUUGAAUUAGGAGAGAGGGGCGGCUAACCCUAAUUAAAUACAUUAGGUUUGUUGUACAUAUUAUGACGGGUUUUGGGCCUCCCAUGUAUCAGGUCCAAUUAUAUGUGCUUCUUGAAAUAUUAACCCAACACUUUAUAAUUUAAUUCAACUCAAUACAUGUUUUUAUAUUUUCAAAAAUAAAUAUUACUAAAUUAAUUUUAAUUAAUUAAUUAAUUUUCUAAUAAUUUUCAAACCAAUUCUAAUUCUAUUAAACUCAUGGCAAAUUUAUCGUAAAAGAAUCUAUGAGAAAAUACAUUUAAUUUCUACAUUCAAUGGAUUCACAAUGACCAACUAAUUUAAUUUCAUUUUCAAACUUCAAUUACUUACUUAAUAAUAAUUUGAAAAACUUAAAUUAAUUCUCAGUUCAUUUCUAUAUUUAGUGAGAAACCACAUUCACUUCCGAAUGUAACUCAUUUUUCUAACUUUAUUAUUUUUAUCCAUUGAUCAUUUGAUUUUGAAUAUUCAUUUUUGGUUUCAAUGAGCUAGUGGAUGGACCGAUUGGAUAUAUGUGAUUAGGGAUCAAAUGAUUUAUAAUUAAAUUCCAACUUUUCACCUAUUAAUUAUAAACUUAUUUAGUCACAAAGUCAUUCCACUAUAGUAUCGUCACUGAGCUCUCCUCAAUUACAUACCAUUACGAAAGCUACUCGAUCAAUGCUCAUCCAAUGCCCUUGUCAUAAGUUUGUUACCGUUAUAGGAGAUCCUUAAUAUAUUUGGGAUAAAUCCUUUCUCCUAAUAUGAUUCUAUUUUAUCUCAUGAUAAUUAUUACAUCUUCCUUUAUGAAAAGUCAAUUACAAUCAAAUAGUAUUUAAGUCAUUUAUCACAAAGACAAACGACCUGUAGUCAUGUUUACUUUUCAUCUAUCAUGUAAUGCCAAUGAAAGGAUAUAAUUUACCUGUUUCUUGGGCUAUUAAUUCAACUAUUGUGAAUGACGCUACAUGUUAUAGAAGUCGUAUACCCAAUGAAGCAGCUUUCGAUUCCUUAUCCAUUUGAACUCAGGCUUUUACUUAAAUAAAAGUAUACGAGUCACACAUAUAUAGUCCAUCAUCCACUUAGGAUUGAGGUAUGUCACACCAUGAAUGUCAUAUAUGAAUAAAUCCAUAAACGGAUUCAGGAUCUAUUCUACUUGGGUCCUGUCUGAUGUACUGUCAGUCUAGUUAGUCACAUCUAUGUCUAUAUGUUCUAGGAGUCAUCUUCUUCAAUGCUUAAGAUAAAGUAUCUCCCCAUUUAAACUUGAUAGAUGACAUAUUAGUCUUUCAAUCAGUUUGCUCAUUUCUGAUUAGACUAAAGACAUUUUAGAUUCAUCUAGUACUAUAAGUUUUCAUUUCGUAUUACGAUCUGACCACAUAAUACCUCUUAUUAUUAGUUAAACAUUAGAUAACCAAUGAACUAAUAUUUACUUCCAUUUUGCUUUUCGUGCAAAAACUAUUGAGAAAGAUAUAUGAAGGGUAUUGACUGCCUCCAUACGCACUAACGUCAAAAGUGUGAAUACUGUAAUAAAAUAAAGAAUUACGAAGCGAUAUUCGCAAGUAUACAGAUCGAGUUUUAAUAUAGAUUUUACAACGAAAUAGGUGAGUACUCUGAGGAUCAUACCCAAAGGAGGCGAGUACUAAAUCAAUUUUAACUCAAACAACUAAAGAUCUAAUUAAUACUCUUUAAUAAGUUAUAGUACGAGAGUAAAAUAAGAAGUAUUUUUAGGGUUUGUAAACUAAUAAAGUAAAAUCACAUAAAAGAAUUAAAAUUGUAAAAGAUAGAGAUAAAUAAAGUGAAUCAAAUCUAGAGAUAAAUAAAGUCAAUCAAAUCUGAAUAUGGGUGAUUAGCUCGCUUCGACAAUCCCAAUUAACUGUUGUCUCGAGUUCCUCGUCAACCAACUAGAAGCUAUCCUAGCAGGAUCUUCCAAUCUUCCACUAACAUAAUGAGUCAACAAGAACUACUUAUCUUCCGACCUCACAAUUCAAACUGGCUUGGGGUAAAGGAGUUCACAAAUAGGCAAUACCAAUUUUGGGUUAAUUCCCACCUUGAUAACUUCUAAGGGUUGUCUGACCUAGGGUUUGUUUCACAUUCUUCCUUUCUCGAACAAUUGAUCUGUUGAGUAACCCUGCAAAACAGUUAAGAGAUUAUACCUCCACUUGCUAAUCCCCCAUUGAAGGAUUAGUUCUUUAUAGCUUUCAUAAACAACAUGGAAUAAAUGGAAGAAUUAAUCAUAAGGAAUGGAGUGAAAUAGAGAGUUUAAGAAAACCUUAUUGAUAUUGAUGAAUAGUGUGAAUCCACAAAAGUUGAUCUCCUUUACAAUUAGAUCUCUUAAAGAAAACAAAUAACUAAAACUAUGAAAACUUAAGAAAAAAAUAAAACAAUUCUUAAACCUAAAGAGGAAAUAUAAGCCAAUGGAAUGCCCCUAUAACAUGUGCCAGAGAGGUCUAUUUAUAGCCUUCAGGUAGUCAUCGUUCUUAACCCUAGGGUAGCUAACGUUCCUGAGCUUAAAGUUCAGUUUUUCAGACCAAAAUGCCCAUGCUUCAUGUUUUAUUCUCGUCACAGAGUCGAUUUCGCGACACAUUAAGACUUGUGUCGUGACAUAGCAACCAGCAUGUUCCUCUGUAGCCAUCUUCAGGGGUAUGUCAUGACACAGGCUGAGGGUGUCAUGACAUUGAAUGUAGUUUCUCACUUUCUCUAUUUUGCUCUCUACAUUGCGGCAUCGGAUCCCCCAUGUUGCAACAUGGUGUCUAAUAUUGACCUGAAAUGCCUUCCGAUGGUCUCUUGCACAAUCACUGUAACAACCUAUUUUUAAUAAAAUCAAAACAGUGAUUUUGAGACCACAAAUUUGAUGAGUAAAUUAGUAUUUAAUUAUUUUUUUAAUGUCUAUAGGAUGUUAUUAAGGUAGUAUUAAAAUUGCGGUAAGAAAUUUCAAUGUUUACAUGAUUAAUUAGGUAAAAAAGACUAAACGUAAAAUGUGUAAAAGUUGAGUUCUAAUAGCUAAAGGAGUCAAAUAGCUAUAGAACCUGAAAUUAAAAGACUCAAAUGGUAAUUAGACCAUUUAAGUAGUAAGUGGAUAUACAUGGCAUUGUUUUAUUGAAAUUCUAUGGUUUUAAAAUGUUAAAUUAGUCAUUUAGUAAUUAGAAAGAAAAUUAAAUAAAAAAAUAUGAGAAAACAUUGUCAUCUUCAUCUUUUGCUAAUUAGAAAACCUAAAAACACCAUUGGAGAAAGGGGGUAUUCGGCCAAGCAAUCCUUGUGUUCAUGGUAUGUAAUUUGCCCCGUUUUUAAUGAUUUUUAUGUUUUUGAAGUCGUUUUAGCUUAAACUAGUUAGCCCAGGGUUUGGUGUUUAAUUCUAGAUUAUGAAUCUUUGUUGUUGAAUAAACAAGUUUUGUUAAGUGAGUUUUGAUGAAAUUUGCACUUACGGAUUAAUUUGUAAAAAUGGUAAAACUUAUGUUAAAUUCAUGAAAUAAGGGUUUAUUUGGGUUGAUAUAAGUCCUUAAUAAACUUGGUUAGCUUGAAUGUGGAUUUAAAUGUUUAGAUUUCAAUUUAUGAGCUUAAUGACUAAAUUGUGAAAAGUUAAAAUGCUAGAGGCAAAAUAGUAAUUUUGCAUAAAAAUGAAUUAUGGAUUAAAUUGAUAUAUAUAAGUACUCAAUUGAAUGAAACUAUUGUUUUAGAUCAUGAACGGGUUGACGAUCGCGAAAAAGAAAAGAUUUCGGAGUAGUUCUUAUGUUUCACAAUUACUACAAUAUGGUUCGGUAAGUUCGUUAUAUGCUUAUUUUUAGUUGAAUUGAAUACCUCGUUAGUGAUUAAUCUUUGAAUUCCAUUAAGAACUAUGUUUAAAUAUAGAAGUAUAUUGUUAUUCGGGCUUUGUGCCUAGUAGACUUUGUGACGCUGUUAUUCGGGCUUUGUGCCUAACAGGUUUUGUGCCAGUGUUAUUCUGGCUUUAUGCCUAGCAAGCUUUGUGCCGGUGUUAUUAAGUCUUUGUGCCAGUGUAUUAAAAGUUAAUAUCCAUUUGGAAAUUUGUAGUUGAUAACAAAUGAGUCUAUUAUCGAACUUACUAAGCUCUCUUAUACUUAUUAGUUUGAUUUGAUUUUGUAGGACUCUUGGAAUAGUUGCUUUGAUUGGAUCGGCUCGGAAGCUUACACACUGUCAUCAUUAUCUUGGUAGUCAUUUUGGUUCUUGCUCUAGUUGGUUAAAGUGGAAUGUAUUAGGAAAGGUCCUUAGUAAUAUGAUAUUUUAGUGAAUAUGUAAAUAUUAAAAGUUGAUAUGUUUAUGCUUGUUGAUAGUGAAUGGUAUUUGAACUGGGUUGCAUAACUAGGUAAACCUUUUUGGAACACUUAUAUGUAGUAAUGUUCAAACCUUUUUGGUGCAAACUGUUGGUGCAUGAAUGCUUCAAUUAUGUGGUGUAUAGUAUCUUAGUAAGUAAUGAGUUGUGAUCCUUAAUUUGUGAUAGGUUUUUGACAUGUUUCGAUAAGAUAUGAUUGAAUGCAUUUGAGGUGCAUUGUUGACAUAUUGGUUGGAUGAAUUUAUGGUCUAUUAAAUUGAUUGUUUCAUGCAUGUAUUGGUAUGUUUUGAUGCCUUGAAUGCGGGAACAAAAUACUUGUAGGUGCAUGUUUGGGUUGGGGAUGGAAAUGGCUUGAAUUUGGCCAAUUUCAUGUCCACAUGGCCUGAGAUACGAACGUGUAUCUUAGCAUGUGUGGUACACGGCCUGACACACAGACGUGUGGCUUGGCCGUGUGACCCAACUCAGAGAGUUACAUGGGCACGGACACGAGCUAGGACACGGUUGUGUGUCCCUAUUUCGAUUGUUACACGACCUGAGACACGGGCAUGUAUAAUACCCCGAAAAUUUUUACAGUAAGAUAUUAUCCUUGAUAUAGUAAAAUAAGGAAAUAAAGUGACAAAAAGGGAAAUUUUGAGUUAUGUCAAUAUUGGUAAGUAUAUAUGAUAUAUUAAUUCAAGAAAUGACUAAAUUGUAAAAGAGUGAAAAGUUUUGUUGCACAAGAGUAAAUACUCAAAAUUUGAGCGGUUAAAGUGUAAAUAUGAAAAAAUUGAAAGACCAAUAGUGUAAAUAUUUUAAGGGUGGAAUGAUCUAGAAACCAAGGAAAAUGGAUGAAUUAGGACCAAAUUGAAUAGGUGAAGAACUAUGAGGGACUAUAUUGUAAUUUUACCAAAUUAAAUGAUGACUUAAGGAUUAAAUUUUAAAAGAUAAUAAGGCAAAAUGGUCAAUUUGAAGAGAGAGAAAUCUAGAAAGUAAUAAUGAUGCUAGAGAUAUUUUGAUAUUUUAUAAUUAUUUAAUUAGAUAAAUAUUAUUUUAUUAAUAUUUUUAAUAAGAUAUUUUAUUAUUAUUUUUUUAGUAUAUAAAGAAAGAAAGAUGAGGAAUUCUCAUCCAUUUUUCCUCUGCAAAACCAAUGUGAGAAGAAGAAGAAGAAAAGAAGUUUUUAUUUCUUUACAAUUUGGUCCUUUUACCAAAAAUUUACUAUUUUCACCCAAAAAUCAAAAGAAUUUCCAUAGCUACCAAGAGAGAAAAAUGUUAAGGAGACUAAGUUAGAAUAUCAAGUUGGAUUUAAGAAAUAGAAGCUGAAGAAGAGAGAAAAUCAAGAUGAAGAUUGAAAUCAAUAGAACAAGAUAAGAACAUCAUGAUUUCAAUAUAUUUUGAAGUUUGAUAUUAUUGAAAAAAAGCAUGGGAUUAAUGUUAAUAUAGAGUUUCCUUACAUAUGGUCCUAUGUUCUUGAUAUGUUAGUGAAGAGAAAAUAAGAGAAAGUGAUGAGAAAUAGUGUAGAAAAAGAAAAUAAGGGUGUAAUAAACAUGGUAAUUAAUAUUUUGCACUAAAACAGUUUUGGACAGCAGCAAUAGUCUAAAUUUAAAAAAUCACCAAAAAUUGUAGAAAUUGAAUUAUAGGAUUAAUAAAAUAUUAAAUUAAAUAUUAUUGAGUCUAGUUUCUUAUAGAAUAAAUUAUGUAAGUAAUGGAAUUGUAAAUCAUGAGAUAUAAUAAAAUUUGUGAGAUAAGGUUAGAAUGAUUUUGGGUUCCCCUGUUUCGACUUUGGAAAAUCAUAAAAAAUUGGAGAAAAAUAAAUAGGGGCUUAAAUUUAUAUUUUUAUAAUCUUGAAUGAGUAUAUUUUCAAAAUAAAUAAACUGUAACAUCAUUAUAAAUCUGUAUGAGGAGAUAAUUAAUUUUUAGUGAAGAGGGGUUAGAACUAUCAGACAGCAAAAUAGGGGUAACUUUAAAUAAUAAACUGUACUUAUUGGAUAAACCAAAAAUUAUAAAAAUUUUAUGGUAAGAAUAUAUAUGAGUCUAGUUUUAUGGAAAAUUAUAGGAUCUUAAUUUUAAGUUCUAUAUCUCCAGAUAUAAAUAAUUUUGUGACUAUGACACAGAUAAACAGCUUGAAUAUUCAUAAAAGUAAAAAAAUAAAAAUUAUAGAUAAUGUUACUUACAAGUGUGUUAUAUACAUUAAGGAUGUGGAAUGGAGAGUCGGAGAAGGAAAAUAUAUAUGAAUAUUCAGCUAGCAUGGCUAAUUUGCAUGUUUUAGGCUUAGGACUAAAUUGAAUAAAAUUAAAAAUUUCAGGGGGAAAUUUUGUAAAAAUGUCAAAAAUGACCAAAUUGAAGGGAAUGAAUUGUUUUAUUAUUUAAAUUAAUAAAUUGAAUGAAAUUAUCAAUUUAAGAUCAGGUGAAAAUUGGGAAAAUAAUAAAUUACCAAAAUACCCCUAAACCUUGAUAUUUCUGCAAUUUCGCCAAGUAAGUUCGUGUAACUUGAAUUAUAUUAUUAAAUGCUUGAAAUGUAUGUUAUUGAUAUGAAUAUGAUUUGAAUGUUCAUUGUAUGAAAAUUGAUGAAACAUUGAUAUAUUAGAUAAAAAGGGAAAGAAAUCCCGGUUGAAUGAAAGGAAAAUUCGAUGGAUCUCUGAAAAGGAAUUGAUGGUAACAAAGGAUCUAGCCCGGACGGGUGAUCCUAUCCUGUUAUAGCCCUCCCGAAGAAUAUGUGCAAAAUGGAUUUAGCCCGGACGGGUAAUCCGAAUUAGGGUCUGAAUUUAGCCUGGACUGGUAAUUCAGAUCCAAGCUCAUUAGAGUAAUUGUCGUUGCAGGGGAUUUAGCCUGAAUUGAUAAUCCAGACAAUACUCUAUGAGUUUAUAUUACAGGGGAUUUAGCCAGGACUGGUAAUCCCGCUGUAAGGAUGAGCUUCACGGGAGUGUGCUCUCCGAAAUGAAAUAUGUAAGACCAUGGUUGAAAGAUACCAUGGCAACUUGUGUGUAAGACCAUGGUUGAAAGAUACCAUGGCAACAUGACAGAAAAUGAGUAAGACCAUAGUUGAAAGACACUAUGGCAUCAUGUCAAAGAUAAAUAAGACUGUGGAUAGGAGACGCUAUGACAUCUGUUGAACAAUUGAAAUUUAGGUAAUAUGUAUCAGAUGAUGAAUAGUUAUAUGAAAUGGUUGUGUGAAAUGUUUACAAGAACUGGUCAUAUGGAAAUAUAUGUACAAAAUAGUUUUAUGAAAUAAUUAUGAAGAUAGAUAAACGAAGUAAGUAUAAGUACAUGGAAUAAAAUUUAUGUUAAGUUUGAUAUAAACUAUUACCGGAAUAAAUAUACAUAAAAUAUAUGGAAAUGAUAGAGCAUGAAAUAUUGAUAUAAUGAAAUGAAUGAUAUAUACUUAUGAAGAAACGGUAAUAUAAUGAUAUGUUUCAUGACAUGUACAUAUAUGAUUAUCUUUGAUAUGUUGAUACAAGAAAAUUAUGUAAGUAAAGACAAUUAUUAAACUCAAGUGUGACAUGUCGAAAAAAUAAGUAUAUCAAUGUUGAAUUUAUAUAAAAUAUGUACUAGUAUACUAACAAUAUCGAUGUUUGAUGCUUAUACAAGUGCCAAGCUGUUGAUUGAAUGGUAAUAUAUUUAUUUAUAUGAUACAUUGAAUCGGUAAGUAUUUAAUUGAAUUUUUUAAGUGAUCUGCAAAUUCUAGUAAUGUCCUGAAACCCUAUUUCGACGUCGGAUACGGGUUAAGGGUGUUACAGCACGUGUCUCAGCCGUGUCAGUCACACGGCUUGGCCAUACGAUCGUGUGACCCCUGUAGUUCGAUUUUUCUAAUUUUCUCUUAAAUGUUCCAAAUGUUUUCUAUUUAGUCUCGAAUUGUUUCUAAAGUGUUUCUUAGGCCUCGACGGCUCGAUUAAGGGAUGUUAUACAUAUACAUGAAUGGUGAUUGAUAUAUUUAUGUUGAGAAUUUAAAUGUAUGUUUUAAAGUUAUGUUUUUAUAGUAAUGCUCCAUAACCUUAUUCUAGCGACGAAUAGGGGGGAGGGGUGUUUCACUCACAAAGUAUGUUAGCUCUCCCUUAGGCAUCAUUCGUCCCUUAAGGUUAAUAAAAGACUUAAUGUGCACAUUUAAUUGAAUGUAAACAAAACUAAAGAAACUGAAUUAAAACAUAAUGAAAAUGUUUGUAUUCAAGCUCCUUAAAUGUGAAAACUAGUUUAAUUCGCUACACCAAAUUACGACAGAUCAGGUAUUAAUAUAAUUCAUGAAUAAUUUUUAUAAAAUCAAUUUUUUCGAAAAAAUAAAAGUGUAUAAACGAAUAUACUACACUUAGGGCACUAGAUCCAACAGUCUCCCACUUGCCCUAGUUGAGUAGAUGAGUCAUAUUUCACAUUCACAUGCUCUCCAUGUUUUUCUCCAAACUCCUAGCUAGUAGAGUCUUGGUAAAUGGGUUCGCAAGGUUUUCCUCUAAUGUGACUUUGAAUACAUUUGUGAUUUUUUUUUGCUAUUGCCUCUCUUAUUAUGUGAUACUUUCUAUUAAUGUGUUUCGUCCUCUUUUGGCUUCUGGUUUCUUUGGUGAUAGCUUUUUCCAUACUAGCAAAAACUUCAAUAUCCUUAAGGAACUAUUGAAGUCAUAUUACUUCUUUCGUAGCUUAAAAAACAACCACAUAUUUAGCUUCCAUAGUGGAUUCAGCAAUAUAGGUCUGCUUGACACUUCUCCACACUAUAGACUCGUCGCCUAGGAUAAAGACACAGCCUGGUAACGAUUUCCUCAAAUUCUGACAUGUUUGGAAGUUAGAAUCGGUAUAUCCGAUAGCAGUAAGAUCUCCUCUAGAAUACACAAGUAUAUAAUCUCUCGUUCUUCGAAAAUGUUUGAGUAUAUGCUUAACUGUUUUCUAAUGUCUUAGACCGAGAUUCACCUAAUAUCGACUCACCAACCCUACUGUAAAACAAAUAUCUAGAUGUGUGCAUAACAUAGCAUACAUGAGACUUCCUACUACUAAAGAACAAGAGAUCUUUCUCAUGUUUUAUAUUUCUUUCGUUGCCUUAGAACAAUCCUCCAAAGAAAGAUAAAAUCUAGAAACAGAAGUUUGAGUUCCCUUAUUAGAAUCGGUCAUUGAAUAACAUUCCAAUAUUUGGUCAAUGUAUGAAGCUUGUGUUAAUGCUAUCACUUUGUUCUUUCGACCCCUUAGGAUACAAAUACCUAGAACAAAAGUAGCUUUUCUCAAGUCCUUCAUACUAAAUUGUUGAGUAAACUACAGUUUAAUCAAUGACAAUGUCCCUACUUCAUCUCCACUGAAUAGAAUGUCAUCGACAUAUAGAACAAUAAAUACCACAUUUCUAUCCCUAAUAUGUUUAUAAACAUAAGGUUCAUUUAUGUUUUUCUCAAAUUUGAAAGUUUUGAUCGCUUGAUCAAAUCUUUAAUUCCAUAAGCGAGAUGUUUGCUUAAGUCUAUAUAUGGAUUUAUGAAGUUUGCAAACUUUAUGCUCAUUUCCUUUGCUAUAUAUCCGAUGGGUUGUACCAUAUAGAUGCUUUCUUUAAGAUAGUUGUUCAAGAAUGCUGUCUUGACAUCUAUUUUCUAGGCUUCUUGUUAGUGUUAUUACAACAUUCACCAGGUGAUUAUCUUCUUCGAUUUUGAGAUACUUUUAGUUAAUGAUUAUAUAUAUCACAAUAUCAAUAAGAGUAAGAAUAGUCUCGAUCAAUGCCCUAAUAAUGAUUUUGAGAUUAUAGGAAUUCAUAAGAUUCUAUAAAUUUCAACAGCGGGAAAUCAAAUGUAUGUUCAAGCUUGUACGCAUUUGGAUAUUAAGUACAUUGUUAGGAUAUUGUGCAAACAUUUGAGCAAUUCAGGUAUGGAUCAUUGGAAAGAAACCAAACCAUUCAUACAUUAUAUUUAGAAAACAAAACAUUACUUGCUCACAUACCGGAGGUUUGAUAAGUUAGAUAUUGUCAGGUAUACAGACUCUAAUUUUAUGGAAUAUAGACGUAAAAUUUUGUCACUAAUGUGCAAGUUAUGACAAUAAAUUGCAGUCUUUUAUUCUAAUAACAACAAGAGAACAUCAAAGUCAAAGCACAUAAACUUUAAAAUCCUAGUUGUUAAAGAAAGACUUCAAAGUGGUCAGGUGUCCAUAAAGUAUAUUGCAACAAACUCCAUAAUUGUGGAUCCGCUUACUAAAGGAUUACCACCCGAGGUUUUUUAUGAGAAAACUGCUCACAUGGGCUUAAUUUCAUUUUGGUAUAUCUAGUUUUAGUGGGUGUUUGUAAUUUUAAAAGUUUUUUUUUGUUAUAGACACACUUUUGGUUUUUAGUUUACAGUUUUUAAUUUUAUUUUCUUCGACUAAGACUCCACGAAAGAUGAGUCCCUAUGUUCAGAAUUUGUCACGAUACCGCACAAAGAAAUGCCACAAGUGAGGGAGAGAAGAUACGAUUGCAGUAAAAAUAGAAGCAAAAACUGAAAAGAAAUGAGAUGGGGAAAUUUUUGGUAGGGAGAGAGAAAGUAAAAUCCGACAGGAGCAAGGAAGGAAAAAAUUGAAAAGAUAUCAGCCAAAAUCUAAUAACCCCCAUCCUUUCCUCUUAAUUCUCUCUGCCAACUCCCCACUACUUAAAUUUUCAGUGAAACUCAAACUCUUAGCUGAAUCACGCAGCAAAAAUAAUUCCUUUCCUUACACGGUGAUUUGAACUCCAGACCUCCCACAUUCCAACACACACCUUAACUACCAAGCCAGCAGGCCCAUUCUGCUAUGAUUCUACCACUAUUAAAUAAAAGCCUAUUGAACCCAAAUAAGGCUUUAUUCAGAAAAAAUACCAAAAUUUUCCAAGGCCAAUGCUUGAACUUGGGACAUCUCACACACACCCAGAACACUUAACCAAUGAAGCAGAUACAGUUUUACGUUACUAUCUAACAGAAUCAGAAAUAUAAAUUUUGGGGCGUUACAAUUCUACCACCUUAAAAGAAAAUUUUGGCCUUGAAAUUUACCUGAUCAGCCAUAAUUAACAGAAUCUCACCCGUGUUUCGCACACUGCCUACCAGCCAUUACACGGCUGUGUCGAUCAUGCUUGUGUCGCAUGUGCACUGCCUAGUUUGUCGAUCACACGUUCAUGUGCUACCACACGGCCUACCACACGGGCGACCACACACCCGUGUGGUAUCGAUAGAGAGCUUUUCGGCUUUCUCUGAAUCUCAUUUUCUGUGCAAUCGGAGUACACACCUGUUACAAUUCAAUGCUUAAACGAUCCUCGAGCACUCUAGAACCCCCUACGCCUCGAAAGAUUCGACUAAGACUCCAUGAAAGAAGAGUCCCUCUAUUCAGAAUUCACCGCGAUAUUGCACAAAGAAACGUCACAGGUGAGGAGGAGAAGAUACAAUUGCAGUAAAAAUAGAAGCAAAAUUUGAAAAGAAAGGAGAUGGAGAAAUUUUUGGCAGGGAGAGAAGAAGUAAAAUCCUAUAGGAGCAAGAAAGGAAAAAACUGAAAAGAUAUCAGCCAAAAUCUAAUAACCCCUAUCCUUUACCUUUAAUUCUCUCUGCCAACUCCCCACUACUCAGAUUUUCAGUAAAACUCAAACUCUUAACCAAAUCACGCAGCAAAAAUAAUUCCCUUGCUUACACUUCUACUAUAAUUUUACCACUAAUUAAAUAAAAGCCUAUUGAACCCAGAUAAGGCUUUAUUCAGAAAAAAAAAACCAAAAUUUGCCAAGAUCAAGGCUUGAACUUGGGACCUCUCACACACACCCAAAACAUUUAACCAAUGAAGCAGAUACAGUUUUAUGUCACUAUCUAACGAAUCAAAAAUAUAAAUUUUUGGGCGUUGUAGUACUAUUGCAGGAACGACAUGGAAAAUUCCCCAAACUAAAAUUUCAAUCUAUUAGUAUUUAGUAUUUAGUAUUCAGUUGGAACACAUGAGAAAUUAGUUAUUGAAGCGUGAUAAAUAUUUUUAAUAAAUCAAAAAAAUCAUGUAAUUUAUAUACAAUCACAAUUUUUUUUCAUAUCGUUUAAUUCUUAAGAUAAGCAAAAACAUAUAAUAGUAUAUGCUACUCCUAUUAUACCAACUAAAAUGUCACAUUUAGUGCAACAUGGUUUGUUUGCAAUCAAAUCAAGUCAAGUAAAUCCAUUUAUAACAACAUUUUCUUGGUUAUUAAUAAAGAAAACAAAGCUUGUAGUUUUAGAUCAAAUUAUAACUUUGUGCUCCUUUAAUUCUUAAUAUAAACAACAAAUAUUAACUUAAUUUAGUCUAAUUUUUAGGUUUCAAUUUCAACUUGAUUUUCUCAACUUCGUUGGUAUCAAUUUGGAAUGCCUUGCUCAAUAAAUCAGUAGGAAUUGUUGGCAUGGCUACAAAUAAGGUGGAUACAAUAGAUUGUGUUCCCAGAUUUUUGCUAUUAAAGGUAGUAAUAACAGCAGCAAGCAUCCUUCCAAUGUUCUUAUGGAAAUGAACCAAUCCUUUAGGGAACAAAAAUAUUUCACCCUUUUUUAUCAGCUUUGAUAUAAACAUGUUAGAUGUAGUUAAAAAGCUAACCUCUAGCUCGCCUGCCAAAACAAACACUAUUUCCAUUACUCACGGGUGGGUGUGGAGAGGGUUGACCCCACUUAGGGAAUAGUCAAUGUAAGACAUGGUAACGAAAAGGGUGUUAAGACAUAGGAUUUUUUCCACAUUAGCCACUGUGACAAGCAAGUCUAUGGUGUUGUUUAGGACGCCUGGUUGGGCAAACCAGCAAAGAAAAGUCAUUUGCUCUGUAACACCCUACACUUGACCGAUCGCCAAAUUCAAGAAUGAAAUGUCAUAUUCAUUGUCGAAGCAACUCAAACUACUAAAGCACAAAAUGCAUUCAAUUUAUUCAUCAAAAUAAUUCAUAAGCAUAUAUUCAUAAAUUCAAUGACUUUAUUUUAAUAUCUACAAGGUUAUAUAGUUUAAUGUUAGAGUUAGAACUCAAAUCCAAACUUAAAUGUCAAAUUUCAAAUUCAUGUCUCAAGACAGGUAAUAAAUUAUUUAGGGAUUUUUAACUUUGAAGUUAGCGUGUCUCGAGACAUUACACAUUAUGUCUCGAGAUUAACCUCCCCUAUUUUCUUAUUUUUGCUUCAAUUUUUGAUUAUCUCAAGACAGAUCAAUUAUUUCAAGACUGUACAAAUAUGUCUCAGGACCUCAGGUUAUUGAAUGCAAAAUUUAAAUGAAAUAAGUUUCAACAGUCUCAAGACAUGUUCUUUCAAUCUCGAGUCUUAAUGGUCAAAUGGCAAAAAAAAUGCACAAUUUCAAACAUUCAAACCUCACCUAAUUGUACCUAAAACAUACCCAAAUACUAAACCAAUACAAAACCACCAAAUUAACACAUGUAACCACAAUCAAACGUCAUUAAAUCAUAGUAUCCAAAACAUUAAAACUUAAUAUACAAAUUAACACAUUCAAACUUACAUAAACAAGCAUAGAUAAUCACAAUUUAAGUGAUAAACUUAACCUUAAAAACCUUAUAAGUCAUAAUACAAAAAGUACCAAAUAUUAACUGAAGAGCAUACUACCCAACCUAGUUACAUGCCACAAAACUCGAAACAUUUACAAAAAGAUUGAGAUGUCUUUUGAACUAAUUUUGGAGCAAUUAGAUGCUUGAGCUCGAGUCUACUAAGCUCUUGACCGAGACCUACACAUAGAACAAACAAAACCUUACGCUAAGCAAUAGGGUGCAGUGGUGCUAACAUGAUUUAAAAUAAUUAAAAACAAAAUAACCAAAUACAUUUAAUAUGAAAUUAAACUAUAAUAUAAAUCAUGUUUACAUUAUGUAUUUAAUAUCAUGUUUUAUGCUUAUUAUCAUGUCAUAUAUCAACAUUUGAAUUCAUCUAUUAUUCUAUCUCAAUUACAUACAAAUUUAUAUAUAACAUAUAAGCCAUUUUACCUUUUUCAUUUCUACUCAAAUCCAUUUAUUCGUAUUAUAACUGUACCGGCUCGUGAGGCUUGUAAUAACUGCAUCACAUGGUCUUUCACAUGCUAUUAUCUAUGUUAUAAUGUUGAUAUAAAAAUUCAACAUCAUCAUUCAAUAUUCAUUAUCAUUUAGCAAUUUGCAUAUCUAAUAAUCCCUAUUAACCGGACACGGACUCAAGAUGGAUAGAUGGAUCAACCAACCAUCACACCAAUAUAAGUUGCACUUAGUGCAGCAUCAGAACGUCUGAAGUAUAUUAUGCUUUGUGCCUCAUCGAUAUAAAUCGAAUUAAUAUAUGUAAAUGUGCCUAGUAUCUCAUCAAUACGUCCAAAGUAUAAUACUGACAUAAUACUGACAUAAUUACAUUACACAAUUUUUCUCAAAUGUAAUUCCCCUAACAUCGCUUGUAAGUAUACAUUGCAUUUCUGAAGGUGGUUGGUCGAACAUGUAAAGUCCUUGUGCACUGAUUAAGAUAAAGGCCAUUAAGUCAAUUGCUCAAUUUGCUUUCCAAUAGAUAUGCCUAAGUUCGAUCUCCCAAGAUCGUCAAUGCUUUUGAUUAUAUUGAAAUUGUUACAUCCAAUAUCGUUUCAAGAUAACAUCUGGACUAUCACCAUAUUAUUCAUGUCCACCCUAACUUUUUGGAGCCCUUUAUCCUAAACUAGCACCAGUCCAUCUAGUAUUGCCCACAUCUUCACAUCUUAGUUAUUGUUGAAUAUUCAAAAUUUACUCUAAUACUUAUCCAAAUAAAUUGAUAAUGUGAUUUUUCAACUAAUCGAAUAAACAAAAAUAGGCCAAGCAAGUUAAAACAAAAUAAUCAAUCAAUAAUAAAAAUCUAGGAUUACAAUUUCAUCUAAUGAAUUAGUUAAUUGUUCUACUUCCACCCAAUUUAUCCUAAUAGAGUUGAUUACUAACCUGAGAAACUGAAAUUCCCUUAAUUCUUUUCCAAGCAAUUAAAGAACUAAUUUAACCUAAUUAUUGAGAAAUAUUUCUACAUCAAUAAUUUAGACCAAAUUAAUUAAGAACAAACCCUAAUUAUUGCUACCAAGGUAAUCAGGCAUAUUUUUAUCCUAAUUAUAGAUCAAGAAUCGACCUAUCUAAUUUAGAUAAAGAAUUAUUCAUUCAAGACCUAAAAAGAAAAGUCAUUUUUCAAUUUCGUUAGGUUUGUCAUAUUAAUAGUUGGUCAGACUAUUAUAAAUAAAGAGAGGUGGAAAAAAUAUUCAAUUAACUAAACAUGGAGUACAUUGCAAUAUAAGAAAAGAAAAUUUAGUUCAUGGAAGAAUUAAAAAACAUUUUGAAAUAAAAACGAUAACUAAUCAUAAAAAAAAAAAAAUGGAUGGAGAAACUUGGUCGUCUCAAUGAAAUCCAUUGAUUCUUGAUGCUAGGUCUCUUUUUAUCUUUUAUAUUCCAUCUAGAAAAUUGUUCAAGUACUAACAUCCCUUCCAAUUAACAAACUUUCCACUUUUGUCUUCUAGCAUUCAUUAAGGCAGAGAAUUGGCCUUAACAUCGUAUAUCAAAUUAUCCUUCCUCCAUACUAUGUCGAACCUACGUUAGGUAAGAAACAUAAAAAAAAAAAAAUCUAAUUUAAAGUAUAUAUAAUUAAUUAAAAACAUAAAUAAAAUAAAAUUUUAAAAUCUACUACUACGCUCCUACAAAAUAAACUAAAAUCCUACUAAAAUAAAAGAGAAAUAACUUUAAUAUAAUGCUUAUGAAUAUUAGGUUGAAUCCCUCAAUACUUUUUUUAAGAAUAGAUUUUUAGUUAUUUUAUUUAAAUUAGUGUUGAAUUAACUUAAUUCUUACUUUAUUUUUAUAACUAAUUUUUUUCACUUUAUUUAAAGUAAAAGAUAAUAAAAAAUAUAAUAUUAAACAUAAUAUUAACCAAUUUUAUCGAGUUAGUUUGCUUAAGCACAAAUUUUACUUUUGAGUUGUAACUUAGAAUCUGGCACAAAUUAUAGUUUGACGACAUAUAAUUGGUUUAAAUAAUGAUCAUGUGGCAAGCAUUGAAACCAAAAUAAAUACAUAAAAGGAUAAAUAUCAAAAUAAUCACUUUUAUUUGUUUCAAGUUACAUUUUACUCAUUUAUAUUUGAAAUAUUACGGUUUAGUCACUUACAUUAUCGUGUUGUAACAUUUUAGUUACUGAGCCAUUAAUUACUAUUAACGGUGUAAUGUUAAACUAACAUGAUACAUUAAAUUAUCAUUUAAAACUAAAAUUUUAGGUUAAAUCUUACAAUUAGUCCCUAUAUUUUUUCCAUUUUGAGUAAUUUAAAUUUUUUCUUUUAUGUUAUUUUAACUUUUUUUCUUUUUUUUUCAUUCUCUCCUAUUUUUCCCUUUGUUUUUCUCCCUUUUUCAUUUCUUUUAAUAUAUUUUUUCUAUGUUUUUCAUAUGUUAAAAUUAGUUCACAAGCCUAUCUAACUUUAAAAAAUUAAAUUAUUCAAAAAAAUAAAAGUAUAGGGACUAGUUUUAACAAAUGAAAAAAAUAAAAAAACUAAGUUAAAAGACAGGUAGAAGGGAAAAAAACAGGAUGAGAAGCAUAACAGAAUGAAAAAUGAAGGGAAAAAAAAGGAAAAUUAAAAGAACAUAAAAUAAAAAAAUCUAAAAUGCUUAAAACGAUAAAAUGUAGGAGACUAUUGUAUAAAUUAACCUAAAAUUUUUAUUUGAAAUAAUGAUUUAAUAUGCCACAUCAACUUAACUUUACACUGUUAAUACGAUAAUUAACGAUUACAACGCGAUAUGUAAGUGACUAAAACUUAAUAAUUCAAUCAGAAGUGACUAACAUGUAAACUGAGUUAAAUAAAUGUGACUAUUUUAGUAGUUUCCCCUAAAUAAAAUUAUUAUCACUGAUGUCUGAAGGCAUCGACUAUGGAGAAACUGAAGGGAAAAAAAGAAAAAGAAAACUCCGCUUACAGUUCACUCCAGCAGUUUACAAUAAAUUAUCCCCUCCCUUUGUCUACCAAACCAACCCCUUCCAACUUCAUUCUCUCCCAAAAAGUAUCAAAAUGCUACCAUUUUCUCAAAAUUCUCACUAUAAACUGAGUUUCUUGGUAUUAUUAUUAUGGGUUUCUCGCCUUGUUGAUUCAAAGUCUGGGUUUGAGUUAGAUGAUUCGUUGACUUAUCUUUGGCCUUUGCCAUCUGAGUUCACUUCUGGCAAUCAAACCUUGACCGUGGACCCAACUUUAUCUUUCUCUGCCUUAGGAAAAGGAGGGAACUCCAAGAUUUUGAUUGAAGGAUUUGAGAGAUAUAAGAAGAUUAUAUUCAAACAUGUUUCUGGGAUUUCACUUUUUGAUAAAUCGAGAGGGAUAAGAUCUGUUUAUGAUAUUAGUGAAUUGAGAGUCAUUGUGAAUUCCGACAGUGAAGAGGUAUGUUGGAAACUUGCUUUUUGCCCUUUAAAAUUCACUUGAACAUUAUAUACAUAUACAUAUAUAUUGGUGACAUUUUUGGGUUUGAUUAUGGCAGCUUCAAUUGGGUGUGGAUGAAAGUUAUACUUUGUUUGUGGCAAAGAAAGAUGGGAAAUCUAUUGUUGGAGAAGCCACAAUUGAGGUAAAGUUUGAGACAGCUUUUUAAGGUUUAUCAUAUUGAUGAUCAUGGUCAUAUGUUUUCCGUUUUGUUUCCAGAUGUUUCUAGCUUUGAUCAUUGGUUUCUAUCAGUGUCCUACGCAUAUUCAGACUUGGGUAUCGGAAAAUUAUCUGCAUACAACAUUGACCAUCAAGUCCUGAUAACAUAGGUGCCUAGUAGUGUCUUUGGUGGUUGUUUAGUGUAUGUAAUAAGUCCAACACUUGUUUCCAAUAUAUAUUAGGACAUAGGUACGAAGUACGAUUCUCCAAAUAUAUAGAAAAACUUAGAAAACUUUUGAUAUAAUCGUGUAGAAAACAUACCCGCAUCCAAAAUUGAUUACAUAGGUGCUUAGAAUUGUCUUUGGCGGUGUUUAGUAUGGGCACAUGUUCUGACAUGGGUAUAGAGUACAUCCUCCAAAUAUAGGGGAAAAACUUAGAAAAAAUUGAGUACAAUUGUGUCAGAUAAAUACCCGCAGUUGACACUCACCACUAAAUCGGGAAUAACUUGUUUUCUUAGUAGUGUCUUCGAUGGUGUUCUUAGUGCAAUAAGUGUAUGGCAUUCCUAGGUGUGAAUACACUGUGGAGAUGCACUUCCUUACUGGUAAUCAUCCUCAGUAGGCAAGGAUAAUGUAUGCUUAGUUUUGAAUUUUCUAAUUUUCAAGUUUAAAAUUCAUUUCUAUUGAUCUAAUCUAUUUCUGAAGAUGAGUCAACUUGAAAUCUUGAAGUAAAUGUGUGAUGACAGCUGAUAUUCACUCCUCUUGUCUCUCUUUGUAUUUUUGGCAGGCAAAUACUGUUUAUGGUGCCUUAAGAGGGUUGGAGGUAUGCCAUCAAUCUGCUACUUAUAUGCUGUUUAUCGUGUGCAUAUAAUCUUUUGUGUUUGUUUCCCAAUUUUAAGUGAUGGUUAUAAAUGUCGAUCAAAGGGAUACCAAUAAAUGGGUGAAAUAUACUCCUUCCUAAUGCACCUCUGCGCCACCAUAUGUAGUAUAAUGAUGACUACCUUGUAUUCAGAAAUUUCUGGGAAUUAUUUGCUGCUUAAGGCACAUGCUUGUGAUACAUUACAUUGAAGUUUUAUUUAUGUUUCUUCUUGCAUCCUUCUCUUUUACAAUGUUGCAGACAUUCAGCCAAUUGUGUGCUUUUGAUUACGAGACUAAGUCGGUGCAAAUAUACAAAGCACCAUGGUACAUAAAAGAUAAGCCAAGGUUUGCGUUUCGUGGGCUUAUGCUUGGUAAGCCUCACUUCCAUUAUUUUCCCUUUAAAUAACAAUUUCUGCAAUAGUACUUGAUUCAGUUGUAUAUGCUUAUCUGUUACAGAUACAUCAAGGCACUAUUUACCGAUUGAUGUCAUUAAGCAGAUAAUUGAAUCUAUGUCUUAUGCCAAACUUGUAAGAAAUGCUAGUAGCUGUUAUUUUUUGUUCAAUCCUAUAUUUUCAUGGUCAGAAUUCAUUUGAGCGCUCACGAAAUUAUUGCUCCAUCUCUUUUUUACAUGUCAUUCUGAUUUUGCGGAUUGCAUUCAGUAGAAUGUCCUUCAUUGGCACAUCAUAGAUGAAGAGUCAUUUCCUCUAGAAGUACCUUCAUAUCCAAAAUUGUGGAAUGGUGCUUAUACAAAAUGGGAAUGCUAUACAAUUGAGGAUGCGAGUGAAAUUGUUAGGUAUGAUACAUAUAAGUCCUGGAAUAUGUUCCUUGCUAACUUCUAAACAUUCCUUUGGUUUUUAUGCUUACUUAUAUCUGUAAAGCAAGAAACUAUUGCGUCUGCAUGUUGGGUACAAUGAUAGAUGCUUGUGCAGCCUAGCUCAAAGAGCUGGAUUUGGUUCCCUCCCUCCCCUGGAAUUGUAAAAACUGAACUUUCAGCAGAUUAAACUAAAUGCUCUAAAAUUUGGAAUUAUGUCUGAAAAAUAUAGAGAAGUGAUAUGUUGUCAGCUCGGAUUAAAGUUGUUAACCUUUGAAUUAAAGGCUUUCAAUGGAUAAAGUUGUCGUCUUUUGUACUGCUUUUAUCCAAGAUUCUCAGUUUAGUUUUCAGAUUUAUUAGCUAUCCAGAUUUAUGACUGAAUAUAUAUCUCUGCUUCUCCAUUUUCUUUCUUUUGGUAUUUCAUGCUUCUUGCUCAAAUAUACAUUAAUUAUGUGUUUUUUUUUUUUUGGACAUAUUUUCAUGCACAAAUGUGAAGCUUUGCCAAAAUGAGAGGUAAGAUUGAUCUUUCACUUUUGUUGGCAAUUUAAGUAAAUAUUCACCGUUUUCUAGGGGUCUCUAGAUUUCUCUUCCCUUAUAAUUCACGGCAAGAGUGUCAGAUUCAAAUAUGUGUCUAGCACAGGUAUUUCUAUUUUUUAAAAGUUCUUUCAUGUAUUUGGAGGAUCUUAGGGGAGCCAUAUCUCCAUAUCCAUGUCUUGAUAUACUUUAGACACAGGUGUUACAAGAAAAAUGAAGAAUUGGAGCAACAUAGUUCUUCCCUUACUGUUUUCCUUUAAUUAAAGUUGUUGUUAUUUAACCCAAUUUAGAAAUAAAAGCAUAGUGCAACUAGUUAAAACAAUUAAUAAGACUGCCGGUCUCAUGCUGUCUAUUCUGAAGAUAAGUUUUCUUAUUAUUUCUUAUGAUGUAUGGCAGGCAUCCAUAUAAUGGCAGAAGUAGAUGUUCCUGGGCAUGCAGAGUCAUGGUAAGUUGCUUUGUAAUGCCAGUAUUAUCUUGGCCUUAUACGAUAGGACUCUGAGUACAUAAAACUUUUUUCUCUUUUGAGUAUUCCCACUAGGAAAUUCAUCAUGAGGCAGUUGAAUCUUCUUGACACUUUUCUUUUUUUUCUCGUAAUCAUGCAAUAAGAAGGACAUAGUUUCUCAGCUAAACCUAUCCAACUGUAAUGUAUCUUGAAAGGCCAGUAAUAUGAAAGAUGCCCGAUUUCUACUCUUUAAUUUCAUUUCAAUAAAAGAAAUGGAAAAGUUUUAUCUUAAUUUGCAUGCUGGCUUUAUAUUUCUUGUUCACUUAUUUCUUAAACCCGGAUUUAAUCUUACUUUGUCUUCUGUAGGGGAGCUGGGUACCCUGAUCUUUGGCCUUCUUCUACCUGCAGAGAACCACUUGACGUUUCAAAAAAUUUUACUUUUGAUUUGAUUUCUGGCAUUCUAUCAGGUUAAGAUCUGCAAAAGCCUUUCCCUUGGUAGUAUAAGUCCUAGUCUGCAUCUGUGCUAGUUUUGUGGAUCGACAAUAAUCUUUCCGAUAUGCUACUGAUAAGAAUAAUAGUUUUGUUUUUUAUGUUAUCCUGUAAAUCCUAUCAAAGCAGAUUAGUUAUCAUUGAGUUGGUUGGUUCACCUAUAGGCAUAGACGGCUAGUUUUCAGUAAAGUUGCAGUCAACUGUCAACACAUCUAGUUAACCAAGUCAAAUUAUUCUACUGCAAAAUGACUUCAAAAGAAUUUUGGUAAUAUAAAAUUUUGUCAAGCUUCAGUUUUAGGUCAUGCGUCCUAUGUAUUGGAAUAACUUCAUGCUGGUGUCUUGGUAAUCUGAAACAUUUUAUCCCUGAUAUAACUAUUUACAUCGUUAAUUCAGGUUAAGUACCUUUCUUUUAAAAAAAAAAAGAAAUUAUGAAAGAAGUAAACCUUGAAUAUGAUGAAAACUGAAAGAAGCACAUAUUUCAGUUUUGCUGAUCACCGUAGGUACUACCCUACUUGUUACAGACACAUAUCGCACACGGAUGCUCUAAUUAGUAACAGUUACCUUUCCCAUUUGCUAUCUAGUUAUGAUUGAAGUUUUUGUUUUACAGAUAUGAGAAAAAUUUUCCCAUUUGAGCUUUUCCACUUGGGUGGAGAUGAGGUUCAUACAGGUUGGUAGAUUUGAUUUCUUCUUGUUAACAGGCAUUUCUGCUUUCUCUUUGUUAAUAAUGCGACUGUGUUCUUCCCACUUUUUAAAUUGAAAGCAAAUUUUUUCUCUGAACUUCUUUCGAUUUUGAGUGCUGUCUGCUAAGAUUCAUUAUAUAUGUGCAUGCAAAGUUACUUGGACUCAAUUGUAAGUGUCAGGUCGGAUAUAUGUCUGACACAGGUAUUUUUAAUUUUUCCCAAGUUUUUUCAUGUAUUUGGAGUCAUAUCUCUAUUCCUAUAUUCAGAUAUCCAUUGGCCACGAGUGUUGAACAUGGAUGAUUUAAGAAAAAGUGUGGGAACAACAUAGCACGCUAGACCAUGAUACUAUGAUACAAACCAUGUAAUUUAAACUAUACGUGUGCUCGUAAAGUCUUUGAAAUCAUUCAAAUUUAUCAUUUUCUUUAAAAUUUUAGAUUGAUAAUUCAUCACUGUUUCACCCUAAAUCUUGUAUGUUUAUCUUCUCAAUAGCGACAAAGCAUUUAAGUGAUUAUCAAGUGCAAGUCUAUGAGUAAAGGCUGGUCAUUGUCAUCAACUUAAUUUUAUGUUUAAUAGCAUGAAAUGAACAGUUUGAUUUUCUGAUGCGGUUUUGCUUAUAUAAAUGAAUGGACUUCUUUUUUCUACUCUGUUUGUUGUUAUUUCGAUGCUCGGUUAUGAAUUUUAUUCUCCCUAUAUGAAGUUUAUUAAUAUUGAUAAUAAUUAUUUUGACAGAUUGCUGGACCUCUACUCCACACAUAAAGCAGUGGUACGUGCCCAACUCUUCUUGUUGAUCAGUACUUGUAUGCCGAUUCAUGUUUGGAGUAACUUCUACAUAAAUUGAACUUGAUGAUACUUUAGCCAUUCAAUGUUGUAAUGCUGGGAUUAACUGUAACCUUUUGCUUCAAGCUGUGCCGUCUUAUAAACCAUUAAUCCGAUGAAAAUGAAUUGCAGGCUCAAAGACCAAAACAUGACUGCUAAAGAUGCUUAUCAAUAUUUUGUACUCAAGGCUCAAGAAAUCGCAAUCUCAAAAAACUGGACGCCUGUCAACUGGUAUGUCUGUAUCCGUACCCUAUGAUUGCUGUUUAAUGUUCUAAGAAUGACUUCCGGUUUGGGUUUUUCGUCCAUGGAAAGCUAUUCUGUCUAGCCUCACUUCUUCUCACUAAGUUCUCAAUACUGAUAACAUAAAAGUUUUCAGAUAUAGCAAAAUAAAUAUAAAGUAAAUUACCUAAAAUCUUAAAAACAUGCAUGAGAUGAAACCUAUGCUGCUCUGACUCUUCACUUUUUUGUAAGUACCUGUGUCUAGCACCCGUACCUGAUGCAUUGCCGGACAUGGAUAUGGCUUACAGGGAUAAGAUCCUAUAAAUAUAUGGAAAAAAUAACUUAGAAAAAUGUGAACAUACACAUUUAUGUCUAACACUCGCAUCUAAGUCCGAGUAACUUAUGAUGAAACCAAGAUGUUAUUUCUAUAAGCUUCUAUAAGCUUGCUUAAGUAAAUAUAAAGUUCAGCCAUCAAAAGAUUAUUUUUCUCAUCUUUUCCUUGUAUCUGAAGAAUCUGACAAUUCUUCUUUGCAGGGAAGAAACCUUCAAUUCUUUUCCGUCAAAGCUUAAUCCACGAACUAUUGUGCACAACUGGUGAGUUUUAGACCUUUUUUUUUCUUUUAAUUUUGACUGAAAAGGUUCUCAUCCAAGAGUUGUUACUUUAAAUUUCACGCCCGAAUGAUUUGAUAUAAAAUGCUAGGUUGGGUUCCGGGGUUUGUCCAAGGGCUGUUGCGAAAGGAUACAGAUGCAUUUUCAGCAAUCAAGGUGCUUGGUAUCUUGACCAUCUGGAUGUUCCUUGGAAUGAAGUCUAUAGUGCAGAGCCACUAGAAGGAAUAAAUAAUGUGUCCGAGCAAAAUCUUGUUCUAGGAGGUGAAGUUUGCAUGUGGGGCGAGACAGCUGAUACAUCAGAUGUUCAGCAAACAAUAUGGCCUCGAGCUGCUGCUGCAGCAGGUACGUUAUAUGCUUCAAGAAAAAGUUAUUAAAACCUGAGUAUUUAUUUGAAGUCAUUACCAUCUUAAAACAUAAAUGCUCGAGUCUUGCUUUUUCUUUUCUGUGAUGAAUUCUUCUUUUUCUCCACCAAUAGUACCCCAUCUUGACCCAAAACACGAACAAGUAAAUAUCAAGCAAAGGAUGUAAAAGAUCUUAAAAGCAUAGUUUUAAUAGGUGCCAUCCAUAGGGUACAAUAAAAUUAGCGAUACUUAUUUGGGAGUUUUUUGACCCAGGCUGUCAAUUUCGCUCUUCGACAUACAUGUUAAAGGAUAUGUCAUAGGUAAAACAUGUGUGAUUUAUAAUGUUUGGACCAAAAGAAAUUUAUUUAAACUGUUUUGGAAUGCAGAAUAUUUUUCUCUUUUGUGUCCUAACCAUUUCGAAUUAUGACUUUCGAUUCUGUAUCACUUCUCUUUUUUAUGUUCCUGCCAUACAGGUGAAACCAAAUGCUCGGAUUUCUGCCUGUUAACCUCAUUCUUUCAUCCCUUGUAAUGAUUAAUGGCUUCCAAAAUAUGCAUAUUCGAUAACUAUAACUAAAUCACCCUUUUUAGCAUCUCGUAUUUGGCUGCAUUCAACAUAGAUUGGUUUAGACGCAAUUAAGCAUUUAGGGCAAGCAACUAAAUUUCAUAUUUCUGCAUAUCAUGUCGGACUCAAUGGUUAAACUAACAUGGACAUGAUCCGUUUACUUACUCUGCUUCUUCAUUGCUUGGUUCUUAUUUUGAAUGAUGCCAUUUGCUUCGAAUUGUCUUCCUACAGAGCGAUUAUGGAGCAAAAGGGAGGCUGUAUCUGCACGAAACAUUACCUUAGCCAUAUUACCCCGGCUUCAUUACUUCAGAUGCCUAUUGAAUAGGCGCGGGGUUCAAGCUGCUCCCGUCACAAACAAAUACGCUCGACAACCUCCAUUUGUUGCCGGAUCAUGCUACGAGCAAUAGUUCCUCAGUUCAUUACUAGUCGGAUUGCUCCAGACCUGCCUGUAUCUGCUCUUGUAUAUGUUGAAAGUACAUCUGGAACCUUAAAUUUCCACAUUUUCUGUGUUUACAGACAGUCCAUUGGUGUUUAUCUCAUCCGAUAUGCUCAUGUAUACGUCAAAAGUACAUUCAAAAGCUUAAAUCGCCACAUUUUCGGUGUUUUAGAACAAUCAAUUGGUGUUCAUUCAUCUUGUGCUAUAUUUUAGUUUGAUGUUGUGAUUAUCACACUUAAUUUAAAUUUGUACCUGUUUGUGUUUGACUAGUUUAUCUCCAUGGUAUAAACUUCAUAGAUAAAAUCUUUUCUGCAACUUGCCAUCAGUAAGCUAUGUUAUUCGGACUUUGAUCAGGGUUACGGGUGUAGUUGUGUGUUUUACUUGGAAUUAAACAUGUUGAUCGAUUAUGGCACGAAAUGUGAUUUCAUAAAAGCUGACAUUAUGGUUGCUGAACUUGCUCUUAAAUUAUGUGGUUGGAGCUUUGAUUUUUAUUCAUGGAAAUUAACUAUAUUUCAUGGUCAGCGCUUACUAUUGAUAGUGAAUAUUUUGAUUUCGAAAAACAACCUGCUAGACGGUAUAAAAUAUAAUUACCAUGAUGAAUAAAUAAAUAGUAAAUUAUCAAAAUAGUCACUUUUAUUUACCUCAGGUUAUAUUUUAGUCACUUAUGUUUAAAAUGUUACGAUUUAGUAACUUACGUUAUCAGGUUAUAACAUUUUAGUCACUGAGCUGUUAAUUAUCGUUAACGGUGUAACGGAUUAUACAAUUGGUCCUCAUAUUUUUUCUUUCUGUUAUAUUCUUUUCACUUUCCCUUUUCUUCCUCCAUUUCUUUUAAUAUAAUUUUUCUAUGUUUUCCAUUUGUUAAAACUUAUUUAUGUUUAUGAAAAAAGAAAAGUUAAAAGCUUAAACUAAAAUAAAACUUAUUUUGCAUAUUCUCACCCCACAAUUACAAACUCUCGUCAUCCAUCACUGCUUGUUGUGACUUAUAGCAGUCUACCUUCAACAAAGUUUUUCGAACCCAUUCCCUCAACCUCCUAACUAACCCCCACAACCACCUUAUUUAUCUUACCUACAACAUUCUUGCCCUCUUGAUUAUGUUGUUUUAUGAAUUCUUCAAAUGAGUUCUACACUCUCAAUAACUAAAAUGACCACCAUACCAAACUUACCCUCAACUUUACCUAAACUAGUUUGCUUCCAUGCUCCCUUUCGCUCUUCAGUUCAUCCAUGCUUGACUUCCAAUCAAGCUUGUUCGGGAAUAUCCAAGAAGGUUUAGAUCAAAUUUAUCGUUUGUUUAAUUUUAUUCAUCAAAAAAUAAAAGGAAAGAAAAUGAAUAAUUCAUACGAUUUGUAAACAUUUGAAAACCAAAAAAUUUUAUAUUCAAAUCGAGAUCUGAUUAAAAAGUAUUGGUAUUCGAUUUUGAGUGAAAUUCAAUUUAGGAAUAAUAUGAAAAAAAUAAGGAAUUGAUUAUUUAGUGGAUAGAGAUUAUGUGAAAUAUGAAAAGGGAGAAAAAUAAAAGGGAAGAAAAGAAAUUAAAAUAAACAAAUAAAAAGAAAAAAAUUAAAUUGUUCAAAAAAGCAAAAGUAUAGGUACUAGUUUUAACAAAUAGAAAAUAUAGAAAAGCUAUGUUAAAAGAAAUAGAGAAUGGAGGAAAAUAAACGGAGAGGGAGAAGAGAAUGAAAAAUCAAGAAAAAAAGUUAACAUAAAAGAAGAAAAUAAAAUUGCUCAAAAAAAAAUAUAGGGACUAAUUUUAUAAUUUAAUCUAAAAUUUUCUUUUAAAAUGAUAAUUUAACACGCCACGUUAGCUUUUUGUUACACUGUUAAUGACAAUUAUCGACUCUAGUGACUAAAAUGUUACAACACGAUAACAUAAGUGACGAAAACGUAACAUUUCAAACAUAAAUAACUAAAAUGUAACAUGAGACAAAUAAAUUUAACUUUUUAAAUAAUUUACCUACAAAUAAAUAAAAUAUGAGCAAGUUUGAGUUGCAUAGUUUUUGGCAGGAAUGGUUGAAAAGAGGAAGGCAUAGAAGAAGGGCCAAGCCAAAAGCUUGGGACAGCUAAAGUUUAAUUAAGUUUUAAUUCCGUCAUAAAUAUACGUAAUAAGAAAACAUAGAAAAAGGAUGUGUUUUUUAAGGUUGAAAUAAUUGAAACCCAUUCCCAAUUCAAUCAAUCCUCUUAUUCAAUGCAUAAUAUUUGAUUCGCUUUCCAAAUUAAAUUUAAUAAAUUAAUUUUUUUUUUUAAAAUCAAAUAUUGGACUCCUCUAAAAAUAAUUUUUUGAAAUUUAAUCUUCAUAUAAAAGUUAAAAAUUUGAAUAAUUUAAUCAAAAUUCCAAAUUAAUUAAAUUUUGAUAAAAAAAUACUUAUAAUUUUAAUAAUUGCAUUAAAAAGUAAAAAUAUUACAUUUUAAACUUUUUAAAAUAAAGGAAUUAAAUCUUAAAUUCUGUCAAAAUAAAAGGAGUGACGUGAUAUUUUAACCCUGAAAAUAAUAUAUAAACACCAUUAAAAGUUCUCACUCCCUCAAACACACAGAGAGUCAAAUAAAUAAAGAAAAGAAAAUUAUUGAAAAAGACUGCUAUCAUCGCUUCAUCACUCUUCCUUUUCCUCUUUUUCCUUUUUAUUAUUUUUUUCCCUCUCUCCUCUCUUUCCAUGGCUUCUUCUUCAUCUUCCUUUCACUUCCCUGUGAGUCUUGUGGCCUUCUUUCAUACUUCUUUCUUU
rnacentral:lncRNA from 1 species